GGGCGUGAAGAAGAAAACGACGCGGCCUCGGGUGUUUUGUCCCAAUACCUCGGCGCCAGGAUCUGUGGCGCCGACACUUUUUUUUUUUUUUUGCCACACAAGCCGCCACGCAGAAUCCACGCUGGCUUGCCCCAGGGACCUCGGCGCCGUGAUCCAUGGCGUCGAGGCGUGAUACCUCGGCGCCAUGACUCAUGGCGCCGACCCCCUGGGUCCAUUUCUGCAUUUAAGUUUUCCAGGGGUCCAAUUGUGAAAUUUUUUGAAAAAAAGAGCCAAAUUGUAAAAAAUUGGGCCGACUCCGAUUCCUGCGUCGCAUUGCUUCCUCCGAAGUAGCGAAGUCGGGCCUUGUUUAGUUCUUUUGGAACUGUAGCACUUUCGUUUUUAUUUGACAAACAUUAUCCAAUUAUAAAGUAAUUAGGCUUAAAAGAUUCAUCUCGUGAUUUACAGGUAAACUGUGCAAUUAGUUUUUAUUUUCGUCUAUAUUUAAUACUUUAUGUAUGUGGUGUA
rnacentral:lncRNA from 1 species